rnacentral:rRNA from 1 species
UACGAAGGGUGCAAGCGUUACUCGGAAUUACUGGGCGUAAAGCGUGCGUAGGUGGUUUGUUAAGUCUGAUGUGAAAGCCCUGGGCUCAACCUGGGAACGGCAUUGGAAACUGGCUUACUAGAGUGCGGUAGAGGGGUGUGGAAUUCCCGGUGUAGCAGUGAAAUGCGUAGAUAUCGGGAGGAACAUCUGUGGCGAAGGCGACACCCUGGACCAGCACUGGCACUGAGGCACGAAAGCGUGGGGAGCAAACAGG